GGCCUAAUAGUGUAGCGGUUCUAUCACAUGGGAUUCUGAGCAUUGGGCAUUAGCAAUAACCAUUGUAAAAUUUCCCAUAACCCAGGUUCGAUUCCUGGUUAGGCCU